GAUUAACGCUAGCGGGAGGCAUAACACAUGCAAGUCGCACGGUAGCAGGCCCUUCGGGGUGCUGACGAGUGGCGGACGGGUGCGUAACGCGUAUGCAACCUACCUUAUGCAGGGGGAUAGCCCAUGGAAACGUGGAUUAAUACCCCAUAAAAUUAUUUGAUCGCAUGGUCAGAUAAUAAAAGUUACGGCGGCAUAAGAUGGGCAUGCGUCUGAUUAGUUAGUUGGUAAGGUAACGGCUUACCAAGGCAACGAUCAGUAGGGGUCCUGAGAGGGUUUCCCCCCACACUGGUACUGAGACACGGACCAGACUCCUACGGGAGGCAGCAGUGAGGAAUAUUGGUCAAUGGGCGCGAGCCUGAACCAGCCAUCCCGCGUGCAGGAAGACGGCCUUAUGGGUUGUAAACUGCUUUUCUACGCCAAGAAACGGCCUUACGUGUAAGGCACUGACGGUAGCGUAGGAAUAAGCAUCGGCUAACUCCGUGCCAGCAGCCGCGGUAAUACGGAGGAUGCAAGCGUUAUCCGGAUUCAUUGGGUUUAAAGGGUGCGCAGGCGGGGAAAUAAGUCAGUGGUGAAAAGCUGCCGCUUAACGGUAGUCUUGCCAAUGAUACUGUUUUUCUUGAGUAUGGUUAAGGUAGGCGGAAUGUGCAGUGUAGCGGUGAAAUGCAUAGAGAUUGCACAGAAGGCCGAUUGCGGAGGCAGCUUACUGAGCCAUAACUGACGCUGAGGCACGAAAGCGUGGGGAUCGAACAGGAUUAGAUACCCUGGUAGUCCACGCCGUAAACGAUGUUCACUCGCUGUUUGCGAUAUACAGUAAGCGGCUAAGCGAAAGCAUUAAGUGAACCACCUGGGGAGUACGAUCGCAAGGUUGAGACUCAAAGGAAUUGACAGGGGCCCGCACAAGCGGAGGAACAUGUGGUUUAAUUCGAUGAUACGCGAGGAACCUUACCUGG
rnacentral:rRNA from 1 species